rnacentral:rRNA from 1 species
GGGAGCUUGCUCCUGGAUUCAGCGGCGGACGGGUGAGUAAUGCCUAGGAAUCUGCCUGGUAGUGGGGGAUAACGUCCGGAAACGGGCGCUAAUACCGCAUACGUCCUGAGGGAGAAAGUGGGGGAUCUUCGGACCUCACGCUAUCAGAUGAGCCUAGGUCGGAUUAGCUAGUUGGUGGGGUAAAGGCCUACCAAGGCGACGAUCCGUAACUGGUCUGAGAGGAUGAUCAGUCACACUGGAACUGAGACACGGUCCAGACUCCUACGGGAGGCAGCAGUGGGGAAUAUUGGACAAUGGGCGAAAGCCUGAUCCAGCCAUGCCGCGUGUGUGAAGAAGGUCUUCGGAUUGUAAAGCACUUUAAGUUGGGAGGAAGGGCAGUAAGUUAAUACCUUGCUGUUUUGACGUUACCAACAGAAUAAGCACCGGCUAACUUCGUGCCAGCAGCCGCGGUAAUACGAAGGGUGCAAGCGUUAAUCGGAAUUACUGGGCGUAAAGCGCGCGUAGGUGGUUCAGCAAGUUGGAUGUGAAAUCCCCGGGCUCAACCUGGGAACUGCAUCCAAAACUACAGAGCUAGAGUACGGUAGAGGGUGGUGGAAUUUCCUGUGUAGCGGUGAAAUGCGUAGAUAUAGGAAGGAACACCAGUGGCGAAGGCGACCACCUGGACUGAUACUGACACUGAGGUGCGAAAGCGUG